rfam:Gossypium raimondii Chr05_contig_824, whole genome shotgun sequence.
GUUCCGUGAUGAGGGCACUUCUGUAAUAAUUAUUUUUACAUUUCCCAUGCCUCAUACACGGACUCAUCAUCAAUUUGUUGGAAAGUAGUGAUCUCGUUCUUCAACUU